GACGAACGCUGGCGGCGUGCUUAACACAUGCAAGUCGAACGGAAAGGCCCUGCUUUUGUGGGGUGCUCGAGUGGCGAACGGGUGAGUAACACGUGAGUAACCUGCCCUUGACUUUGGGAUAACUUCAGGAAACUGGGGCUAAUACCGGAUAGGAGCUCCUGCUGCAUGGUGGGGGUUGGAAAGUUUCGGCGGUUGGGGAUGGACUCGCGGCUUAUCAGCUUGUUGGUGGGGUAGUGGCUUACCAAGGCUUUGACGGGUAGCCGGCCUGAGAGGGUGACCGGGCCAAAUGGGGCUGGAGACAGGCCCCAGCCCCCGAGGGGAGCGACAGGGGGGAAAUUUGGAAAAUGGGGGGGAGCCCGAAGCCAGAACCCCCGUGGGGGGAAGGGCGGCUUGGGGUUGUAAACCCCUUUCCCCCGGUAACGAAGGGGGAGUGACGUAAAGGGGAAAAAAACCCCCGGCUAACACCGUC
rnacentral:rRNA from 1 species